AGAGUUUGAUCAUGGCUCAGAAUCAACGCUGGCGGCGUGCCUAACACAUGCAAGUCGAACGAGAAAGAGGGGGCAACUCCUUGAGUAAAGUGGCGACCGGGUGAGUAACACGUGACUAACCUACCCUAGAGUGGGGGAUAACCUUCCGAAAGGAGGGCUAAUACCGCAUAAACUCGCGAGGUGAAAGUCCUUGUGAGCAAAGGAGUAAUUCGCUCAUGGAGGGGGUCGCGGCUGAUUAGCUAGUUGGUGAGGUAACGGCUCACCAAGGCGAUGAUCAGUAUCCGGCCUGAGAGGGCGCACGGACACACUGGAACUGAAACACGGUCCAGACUCCUACGGGAGGCAGCAGUGGGGAAUUUUGCGCAAUGGGGGAAACCCUGACGCAGCAACGCCGCGUGGAGGAUGAAGGUCUUUGGAUUGUAAACUCCUUUCGAUCGGGACGAUUAUGACGGUACCGGAAGAAGAAGCACCGGCUAACUCUGUGCUAGCAGCCGCGGUAAUAC
rnacentral:rRNA from 1 species